rnacentral:rRNA from 1 species
UACGUAGGGUGCAAGCGUUAAUCGGAAUUAUUGGGCGUAUAGGGCGCGUAGGCGGGUAGAUAAGUCGGACGUGAAAUCCCAGGGCUCAACCCUGGAAUAGCAUCCGAAACUGUCUAUCUAGAGGGUAGAAGGAGAAAACGGAAUUCCACAAGUAGCGGUGAAAUGCGUAGAUAUGGUGGAAGAACACCGGUGGCGAAGGCGGUUUUCUAUUUUAUACCUGA